rnacentral:rRNA from 1 species
GACGAACGCUGGCGGCGGGCUUAACACAUGCAAGUCGAACGGAGUGGCGAACGGGUGAGUAACACGUGGGUGACAUGCCCUGCACUUCGGGAUAAGCCUGGGAAACUGGGUCUACUACCGGAUAGUGUGGGAUGGGACCGCGGCCUAGUAGCUUGUUGGUGGGGUAAUGGCCUACCAAGGCGGCGACGGGUAGCCGGCCGUAGAGGGUGGACGUCAACAUUGGGCCUGAGACACGGCCCAGACUCCUACGGGAGGCAGCAGUGGGGAAUAUUGCACAAUGGUCGGAAGCCUUAUGCAGCGACGCCGCGUGGGGGAUGACGGCCUUCGGGUUGUAAACUCCUUUCACCAUCGACGCGGUAGAUGGAGAAGAAGCACCGGCUAACUACGUGCCAGCCGCCGCGGUAAUAC